rnacentral:rRNA from 1 species
UACGAAGGGUGCUAGCGUUGUUCGGAAUCACUGGGCGUAAAGCGUGCGCAGGCGGCUAUUCAAGUCAGGGGUGAAAUGCCUGGGCUCAACCCAGGAACUGCCUUUGAAACUGUAUAGCUAGAGUCUCGGAGGGGUUAGGGGAAUUCCUAAUGUAGAGGUGAAAUUCGUAGAUAUUAGGAGGAACACCGGUGGCGAAGGCGGCUAUCUGGCACACAACUGACGCUGAGGCGCGAAAGCGUGGGGAUCAAACAGG